AUCAGAGCCUAGGCGUAUACAAUUUGCUAACUGUGUGCAACAAUUGCAAUUGAAAGAUAGGAAAUUGAUUCGUGAUUGUAAAACUAGAUGGAACUCAACUUUUGAGAUGUUAAGUUGUGCACUCAAGUUCAAAGAAGCUUUCAAGAUGCUAAAAGAUCGUGAUCCUUUCUAUGAGAGUUGUCCAUUGGAAGAUGAUUGGGACAAGGUUGUCAAAGUUUGCUCAAUUUUAGAGACUUUCUGGACAGCUACUCACAUUAUUUCAGGUUCUGAGUAUCCUACUUCAAAUUUGUUUCUUCAAGAAGUUCAAAAAAUCAAAUCAACAUUGGAUAGUCAUGUAGAUGAU